rnacentral:rRNA from 1 species
GACGAACGCUGGCGGCGUGCUUAACACAUGCAAGUCGAACGGAAAGGCCCUGCUUUUGUGGGGUGCUCGAGUGGCGAACGGGUGAGUAACACGUGUGUAACCUGCCCUUGACUUUGGGAUAACUUCAGGAAACUGGGGCUAAUACCGGAUAGGAGCUCCUGCUGCAUGGUGGGGGUUGGAAAGUUUCGGCGGUUGGGGAUGGACUCGCGGCUUAUCAGCUUGUUGGUGGGGUAGUGGCUUACCAAGGCUUUGACGGGUAGCCGGCCUGUGAGGGUGACCGGCCACAUUGGGACUGAGGUACGGCCCAGACUCCUACGGGAGGCAGCAGUGGGGAAUAUUGCACAAUGGGCGGAAGCCUGAUGCAGCAACGCCGCGUGCGGGAUGACGGCCUUCGGGUUGUAAACCGCUUUCGCCUGUGACGAAGCGUGAGUGACGGUAAUGGGUAAAGAAGCACCGGCUAACUACGUG